rnacentral:rRNA from 1 species
CGGAGGGUGCAAGCGUUAUCCGGAUUUACUGGGUUUAAAGGGUGUGUAGGCGGACUUUUAAGUCAGCGGUGAAAUCUCCGGGCUCAACCCGGAAACUGCCAUUGAUACUAUUGGUCUUGAAUGUUGUUGAGGUGGGCGAACGGGUCAUGUAGCGGUGAAAUGCAUAGAUAUGACCCGGAACACCGGUUGCGUAGGCAGCCCACUAAGCAACGAUUGACGCUGAGGCACGAAAGCGUGGGGAUCAAACAGGAUUAGAUACCCUGGUAGUCCACGCCCUAAACGAUGAUUACUCGACGUUGGCGAUACACUGAUCAGCGUCCAAGCGAAAGCAUUAAGUAAUCCACCUGGGAAGUACGUUCGCAAGAAUGA